UAGGGAAUCUUCCGCAAUGGACGAAAGUCUGACGGAGCAACGCCGCGUGAGUGAUGAAGGCUUUCGGGUCGUAGAACUCUGUUGUUAGGGAAGAACAAGUACGAGAGUAACUGCUCGUACCUUGACGGUACCUAACCAGAAAGCCACGGCUAACUACGUGCCAGCAGCCGCGGUAAUACGUAGGUGGCAAGCGUUAUCCGGAAUUAUUGGGCGUAAAGCGCGCGCAGGCGGUUUCUUAAGUCUGAUGUGAAAGCCCACGGCUCAACCGUGGAGGGUCAUUGGAAACUGGGGAACUUGAGUGCAGAAGAGAAAAGCGGAAUUCCACGUGUAGCGGUGAAAUGCGUAGAGAUGUGGAGGAACACCAGUGGCGAAGGCGGCUUUUUGGUCUGUAACUGACGCUGAGGCGCGAAAGCGUGGGGAGCAAACAGGAUUAGAUACCCUGGUAGUCCACGCCGUAAACGAUGAGUGCUAAGUGUUAGAGGGUUUCCGCCCAUUAGUGCUGCAGCUAACGCAUUAAGCACUCCGCCUGGGGAGUACGGUCGCAAGACUGAAACUCAAAGGAAUUGACGGAAGC
rnacentral:rRNA from 1 species